rnacentral:tRNA from 2 species
GCCGAUGUAGCUCAGUUGGCUAGAGCAGCUGAUUUGUAAUCAGCAGGUCGUGGGUUCGAGCCCCUCCAUCGGCU